rnacentral:rRNA from 1 species
GACGUAGGGAGCGAGCGUUGUCCGGAUUCAUUGGGCGUAAAGCGCGCGUAGGCGGCCUCGCAAGUCGGUUGUGAAAUCCCGGGGCUCAACCCCGGGACUGCGUCCGAUACUGCGAGGCUGGAGGUAGGUAGGGGAGAUCGGAAUUCCUGGUGUAGCGGUGAAAUGCGCAGAUAUCAGGAGGAACACCGGUGGCGAAGGCGGAUCUCUGGGCCUUACCUGACGCUGAGGCGCGAAAGCUAGGGGAG